rnacentral:misc_RNA from 1 species
UCUCCGUUGGUGAACCAGCGGAGGGAUCAUUCCUGAGUUUACAACUCCCAAACCCCUGUGAACCUACCUUCAUGUUGCCUCGGCGGAUCAGCCCGCGCCCCGUACCACGGGACGCCCCGCCAGAGGACCCAAACUCUCCUGUUUCUUCUUGUAACUUCUGAGUAAAUCAAACAAAUCAAUCAAAACUUUCAACAACGGAUCUCUUGGUUCUU